rnacentral:tRNA from 1 species
GCUGAUAUAGCUCAGAUAUGGUUAGAGCACGCCCUUGGUAAGGGUGAGGUCGGCAGUUCGAAUCUGCCUAUCAGCA